UACGUAGGGCGCGAGCGUUGUCCGGAAUUAUUGGGCGUAAAGAGCUCGUAGGCGGUCCUGUUGCGUCCGCUGUGAAAUCCCCGAGGGCUCGAACCCUGGGCGUGCAGUGGAUACGGGCAGGCUGGGAGGCAGGCAGGGGAGAACGGAAUUCCCGGUGUAGCGGUGAAAUGCGCGAGAUAUCGGGAGGAACACCGGUGGCGAACGGCGGUUCUCUGGGCCUGUAC
rnacentral:rRNA from 1 species